GGGCGUAAAGAGCUCGUAGGCGGUUUGUCGCGUCUGCUGUGAAAAUCCGAGGCUCAACCUCGGACCUGCAGUGGGUACGGGCAAACUAGAGUGCGGUAGGGGAGAUUGGAAUUCCUGGUGUAGCGGUGGAAUGCGCAGAUAUCAGGAGGAACACCAAUGGCGAAGGCAGAUCUCUGGGCCGUAACUGACGCUGAGGAGCGAAAGCGUGGGGAGCGAACAGGAUUAGAUACCCUGGUAGUCCACGCCGUAAACGGUGGGAACUAGAUGUGGGGUCCGUUCCACGGAUUCCGUGUCGCAGCUAACGCAUUAAGUUCCCCGCCUGGGGAGUACGGCCGCAAGGCUAAAACUCAAAGGAAUUGACGGGGGCCCGCACAAGCGGCGGAGCAUGCGGAUUAAUUCGAUGCAACGCGAAGAACCUUACCAAGGCUUGACAUAUAGAGGAAAGGUGCAGAAAUGUACCCCCCGCAAGGUCUCUAUACAGGUGGUGCAUGGUUGUCGUCAGCUCGUGUCGUGAGAUGUUGGGUUAAGUCCCGCAACGAGCGCAACCCUCGUCCUAUGUUGCCAGCACGUAAUGGUGGGAACUCAUGGGAGACUGCCGGGGUCAACUCGGAGGAAGGUAAU
rnacentral:rRNA from 1 species